rnacentral:rRNA from 1 species
AUUGAACGCUGGCGGAAGGCCUAACACCUGCAAGUCGAACGAGUGGCGGAAGGGUGAGUAAUGUAUGGGAAACUGCCUGAUGGAGGGGGAUAAAUACUGGAAACGGUAGCUAAUAACGCAUACCAUAGGAUAUGCACCGAUGGGAUUAGGGAGUAGGUGGGGUAAAGGGUGACCUAGGCGACGAUCCCUCGCUGGUCUGAGAGGAUGACCAGCCACAUUGGAACUGAGACAGGGUCCAGACUCCUACGGGAGGCAGCAGUGGGGAAGAUUGCACAAUGGGCGCAAGCCUGAUGCAUCCAUGCCGCGUGUAUGAAGAAGGCCUUCGGGUUGUAAAGUACUUUCAGCGGGGAGGCGUUACCCGCAGAAGAAGCACCGGCUAACGCCGGGCCAGCAGCCGCGGUAAUAC